rnacentral:rRNA from 1 species
AGUAACGCGUGGGUAACCUGCCUCAUACAGGGGGAUAACAGUUAGAAAUGACUGCUAAUACCGCAUAAGCACACAGUACCGCAUGGUACAGUGUGAAAAACUCCGGUGGUAUGAGAUGGACCUGCGUCUGAUUAGCUAGUUGGCGGGGUAACGGCCCACCAAGGCGACGAUCAGUAGCCGACCUGAGAGGGUGACCGGCCACAUUGGGACUGAGACACGGCCCAG